AGUUUGAUCUUGGCUCAGGAUUAACGCUGGCGGCGUGCCUAACACAUGCAAGUCGAACGGAGAUGCAUUGGCGGAGACUUCGGUCAACAACGGUGUAUUCUUAGUGGCGGACGGGUGAGUAACGCGUGAGCAAUUUGCCUUUCAGAGGGGGAUAACAGAUUGAAAAGUCUGCUAAUACCGCAUAACGUGCGACGGGGGCAUCCCCGAUGUACCAAAGGAGCAAUCCGCUGAGAGAUGAGCUCGCGUCUGAUUAGAUAGUUGGUGAGGUAACGGCCCACCAAGUCGACGAUCAGUAGCCGGACUGAGAGGUUGAACGGCCACAUUGGGACUGAGACACGGCCCAGACUCCUACGGGAGGCAGCAGUGGGGAAUAUUGCACAAUGGGCGCAAGCCUGAUGCAGCAACGCCGCGUGAGGGAAGACGGUCUUCGGAUUGUAAACCUCUGUCCUUGGUGACGAAACAAAUGACGGUAGCCGAGGAGGAAGCCACGGCUAACUACGUGCCAGCAGCCGCGGUAAUACGUAGGGGGCGAGCGUUGUCCGGAAUGACUGGGCGUAAAGGGCGUGUAGGCGGCUAAUUAAGUCUGGAGUGAAAGUCCUGGAUUCAAUUUGGGAAUUGCUUUGGAUACUGGUUAGCUUGAGUGCGGAAGAGGUAAGUGGAAUUCCCAGUGUAGCGGUGAAAUGCGUAGAUAUUGGGAGGAACACCAGUGGCGAAGGCGGCCUGCUGGACAUUAACUGACGCUGAGGAGCGAAAGCGUGGGGAGCAAACAGGAUUAGAUACCCUGGUAGUCCACGCCGUAAACGAUGGAUACUAGGUGUGGGAGGUAUUGACCCCUUCCGUGCCGCAGUUAACACAUUAAGUAUCCCACCUGGGGAGUACGACCGCAAGGUUGAAACUCAAAGGAAUUGACGGGGGCCCGCACAAGCAGUGGAGUAUGUGGUUUAAUUCGAAGCAACGCGAAGAACCUUACCAGGUCUUGACAUCUUGCGCCAACCCUAGAGAUAGGGCGUUUCCUUCGGGAACGCAAUGACAGGUGGUGCAUGGUCGUCGUCAGCUCGUGUCGUGAGAUGUUGGGUUAAGUCCCGCAACGAGCGCAACCCUUGUUACUAGUUGCCAGCAUUCAGUUGGGCACUCUAGUGAGACUGCCGGUGACAAACCGGAGGAAGGUGGGGACGACGUCAGGUCAUCAUGCCCCUUAUGACCUGGGCUACACACGUGCUACAAUGGACGGUACAACGAGUCGCGAACUCGCGAGGGCAAGCAAAUCUCUGAAAACCGUUCUCAGUUCGGAAUGCAGGCUGCAACUCGCCUGCACGAAGUCGGAAUCGCUAGUAAUCGCGGAUCAGCAUGCCGCGGUGAAUAAAAGCCCGGGCCUUGCACUCUCCGCCCGUCA
rnacentral:rRNA from 1 species